UUUUAUUUGAGAGUUUGAUCCUGGCUCAGGAUGAACGCUGGCGGCGUGCCUAACACAUGCAAGUUGAGCGAUUUACUUCGGUAAAGAGCGGCGGACGGGUGAGUAACGCGUGGGUAACCUACCCUGUACACACGGAUAACAUACCGAAAGGUAUGCUAAUACGGGAUAA
rnacentral:rRNA from 1 species